AGUCGAACGAUGAACCACUUCGGUGGGGAUUAGUGGCGAACGGGUGAGUAACACGUGGGCAAUCUGCCCUGCACUCUGGGACAAGCCCUGGAAACGGGGUCUAAUACCGGAUACUGACCCUCGCAGGCAUCUGCGAGGUUCGAAAGCUCCGGCGGUGCAGGAUGAGCCCGCGGCCUAUCAGCUUGUUGGUGAGGUAAUGGCUCACCAAGGCGACGACGGGUAGCCGGCCUGAGAGGGCGACCGGCCACACUGGGACUGAGACACGGCCCAGACUCCUACGGGAGGCAGCAGUGGGGAAUAUUGCACAAUGGGCGAAAGCCUGAUGCAGCGACGCCGCGUGAGGGAUGACGGCCUUCGGGUUGUAAACCUCUUUCAGCAGGGAAGAAGCGAAAGUGACGGUACCUGCAGAAGAAGCGCCGGCUAACUACGUGCCAGCAGC
rnacentral:rRNA from 4 species